GCCCAGGUGGCGGAAUUGGUAGACGCACUACCUUGAGGUGGUAGCGCCGUAAGGUGUGGGGGUUCGAGUCCCCCCUUGGGCACCA
rnacentral:tRNA from 5 species